rnacentral:lncRNA from 1 species
CCAAUUCAAACUAUUCAUUUAUAAAGGACAGUUUAAGGCAUUGAUUGAUAAUAUUUCAUAACAUAAGACUAAUUAACCAGUGCAUAAUAAACACACAAGCUCGACAUCAGGGUGUCACAAGUCACAAGCAACUACAACUAUAUCUCAAUACAAUAAAGUCCGAAAAAGUAUGGAAGACAAUACUAAAUAAAUAUAGGGAAGAUAUGAGGGAGAAGAACAGUGCUGCGAACGUCAUGCAGCUACCUUGUCAACUCAGAGACCUGCUUAAUGAACGAUCAAUGCUCACUAUCAUGAACCGCAACUCCUGGAUCUGCACACAAGGUGCAGGAAGUAAUGUGAGUACGUCAACUCAGUAAGUAAUAAAAGUAAAUGAAAGUUGAGUAGUAAGAAAAUAGAUAAUUCCACGUCAUAAUGCCACAAAAAAUACAGUGCAUUUCCCAAAACAGUACAUAAAUCAUUUACCUCGUAAAACAAACUCAGUUUUAAUAAAGACUUUCCUUCUAAAACAACUUUCAAUAGUUUCAAAUGAGUGAUGAAAACAGUGAGUAAAAAUGAUAGAAACGUAAACAGCCCUUCGGGCAAAACAUAUACCAUAAUCCGCCCCUCGGGCAAAAUAUCAAUAGAACCAGCCCCUUAGGUUAACUCAUAAUCAGCCCCUCGGGCAACAAUACAAAUCAACAAUAGCCCCUCGGGCAACAUCACAUCACACACACUGGGUACCCAUGCUCACUGGGGGUGUUCAGACUCCGGAUGAGAUCUUACAGCCCAAGCGCUAUCACAAGCCAUCUCGUGGCAUAAUAAAUCAGGCCUUUGACCACUCAUAUAUCACAAAUCAAUACAACGUGUUGCGGCACGCAGCCCGAUCCCAUGAUAUCCUCACAACACAGGACCUCGGCCUCACUCAGCCAGAAAUCUCUUAAGCCGCUCGAGCAAUAGUAAAACAGGACUCAGCCCAAAAUAUCACUUAAAGUAUCAAAAUAGAGUAAAUAUGGCUGAGUAGUGAAAUUAGUAAAACAAAGCAUGACUAAGUACAAAUAUUAAUUUAAAAUAGUGAGGAAUAUUAGUAAAAAGCCCAUAAUGGUCCAAACAGUUGGCACGAGUCCCAAAUAUGGCAUUCAGCCCAAAACAUAGUAAUACUUUCCAAAACACAAUUGUAUCAAAUAGUUUUCAAUCAAAUACGAGAUUUAAUAGUGAUAUGGGACGGACCAAGUCAUAAUCACAAACGGUGCACGCCCCCACACUCAUCAUCUAGCAUGUGCAUCACCUCAAAGUAGCACCAAAAUGUGAAAUCCAGGGUUUCAUACCCUCAAGACAACAUUUACAAUCAUUACUUACCUAAAAUCGGACAAAACUCUAGCCCGCAAUGCCCUUGCCUCUCGAAUCGCCAUCCAAAUGCUUCAAAUCUAACCAAAAUUAGUAUUAUAUCAUUAAUACAUGCUAAAGGAACAAAGCCCAAGCACAAAUAAUCAAAUCAACUAAAAAAUCCCGAAAUUGGCCGAACCCGACCCCCUUGGCCCGUAAAGCCCCAGAAAAUUUUGCUAAGUAAUUUAAGAUUUCG